UGAGGAAUAUUGGUCAAUGGGUGCAAGCCUGAACCAGCCAUGCCGCGUGAAGGAUGACGGCCCUAUGGGUUGUAAACUUCUGUUGUACGGGAAAAAACCUCUGGUCGUGAAUCAGAGCUGAUGGUACCGUAAGAAUAAGCAUCGGCUAACUCCGUGCCAGCAGCCGCGGUAAUACGGAGGAUGCAAGCGUUAUCCGGAUUCAUUGGGUUGAAAGGGUGCGCAGGCGGAAUAAUAAGUCAGCGGUGAAAGCCUACAGCUUAACUGUAGAACUGCCAUUGAUACUGUUAUUCUUGAGUGUUGUUGAGGUAGGCGGAAUGUGUCAUGUAGCGAUGAAAUGCUUAGAUAUGACACAGAACACCGCUCGCGAAGGCAGCUUACCACGCAACAACUGACGCUCAUGCACGAAAGCGUGGGGAUCAAACA
rnacentral:rRNA from 1 species